ACCGCACAAGCGGUGGAUGAUGUGGUUAAUUCGAUGCAACGCGAAAACCUUACCACCUUUGACAUGUACGGAAGCCUUUAGAGAUAGAGGCGUGCUCGAAAGAGAGCCGUAACACAGGUGCUGCAUGGCUGUCGUCAGCUCGUGUCGUGAGAUGUUGGGUUAAGUCCCGCAACGAGCGCAACCCUUGUCAUUAGUUGCUACAUUCAGUUGGGCACUCUAAUGAGACUGCCGGUGACAAGCCGGAGGAAGGUGGGGAUGACGUCAAGUCCUCAUGGCCCUUAUAGGUGGGGCUACACACGUCAUACAAUGGCUGGUACAAAGGGUUGCCAACCCGCGAGGGGGAGCUAAUCCCAUAAAGCCAGUCGUAGUCCGGAUCGUAGUCUGCAACUCGACUACGUGAAGUCGGAAUCGCUAGUAAUCGUGGAUCAGAAUGUCACGGUGAAUACGUUCCCGGGUCUU
rnacentral:rRNA from 1 species